AUUAAACAUGUGUUCAAUUACCUUUGACCUUUGGACAAAUUUAUGGUAAUCUACACUACAAACCAUUAAAGUCUGAAAUGGCCUAUAUCUGUACUCGACUGUACUGACUUUUACUCGACCAGUCUGAAUUUGUCUGAAACAUACUCGACUGUACUGAAUCGUACUUGACCCUUAUCUUUGCCGUUGGCAAUAGUCUGAACUAUUACUCGACCAGUCUGAAACAGUCUUAACCCAUUCUUGAUAUGUACUCGACCUAUUUUUCCAGUCUAAACCGUACGUAACCAAAGGUCUGAACAAUACUCGACCAGUCUGAACCAUACUAGACCAAAUAACCUCUACUUUUUUAACUGUUAAAAUCAAUUUCUUUUUAACUGACAUAUAUAACAACAGCCAACAAAAUUUAUGAAUUGUUUAACCUUAUAUUAGAAAUAUAUCUAUUAUUAUAUUUAGGAUAAAAAAUAAUAUAAUUUUUAUUAUAGAUAAUUUAUAUCAAAAAGGGAUAAAAUUAAAUAAAUAAGUAAAAUUGUUUUUCUGAGAAGUGGUGAAAUUUAAAAUAUAAUCUCUGCUUGGGGCAAACUCCUAAAUAAGAUCACACCUGGUCAGAGGUAUUAAAUUCUAAAUAACAUUUAUUCAAAAUUGCAACAUCCUGUUUAACUUUAAAAAACAAGGCCUUUCGAAUAUACAAGAUAAGUAAUACACGAAUUUAAGAAAAUAGGGAUUUCUUUUUACCUACAGGUAAAACACACAUGUACUGAGA
rnacentral:lncRNA from 1 species